rnacentral:rRNA from 1 species
AACGAACGCUGGCGGCAUGCCUAACACAUGCAAGUCGAACGAGACCUUCGGGUCUAGUGGCGCACGGGUGCGUAACGCGUGGGAAUCUGCCCUUCGGUUCGGAAUAACUCAGGGAAACUUGAGCUAAUACCGGAUAAUGACGUAAGUCCAAAGAUUUAUCGCCGAAGGAUGAGCCCGCGUAGGAUUAGCUUGUUGGUGGGGUAAUGGCCCACCAAGGCGACGAUCCUUAGCUGGUCUGAGAGGAUGAUCAGCCACACUGGGACUGAGACACGGCCCAGACUCCUACGGGAGGCAGCGGUGGGGAAUUUUGGACAAUGGGCGGCAAGCCUGAUCCACGCAAUGCCGCGUGCAGGACGAAGGCC